rnacentral:lncRNA from 1 species
AGACAAAUGCGACAGAGAAGAUGCCUACUACGAUACCGAUAUACUCUGCCUAAUGCGUUACUCUGACGAAACGACCCUGCUGUGUCUCAUGGAAACACCGAUGGGCAUUCCACCACCAGAUAAAGGUA